rnacentral:rRNA from 1 species
GUGGGGAAUAUUCCGCAAUGGACGAAAGUCUGACGGAGCAACGCCGCGUGAGUGAUGAAGGUUUUCGGACUGUAAAGCUCUGUUGUUUAGGACGAAAGUGCCUGUUGCAAAUAGUUACAGGUAUUGACGGUACUGAACGAGGAAGCCACGGCUAACUACGUGCCAGCAGCCUCGGUAAUACGUAGGUGGCAAGCGUUGUCCGGAAUUAUUGGGCGUAAAGAGCAUGUAGGCGGGAAUCUAAGUCUGUUGUGAAAAUGCGGGGCUCAACCCCGUAUUGCGAUGGAAACUGGGUUUCUUGAGUGCAGGAGAGGAAAGGGGAAUUCCCAGUGUAGCGGUGAAAUGCGUAGAUAUUGGGAGGAACACCAGUGGCGAAGGCGCCUUUCUGGACUGUGUCUGACGCUGAGAUGCGAAAGCCAGGGUAGCGAACGGGAUUAGAUACCCGUGUAGUCC